rnacentral:lncRNA from 1 species
CCUCAUCAGGAAAGAGGAUCAAGACUGUGGGGAACAAGAGGAAGGAAUCAGAGUUGGAGCAGCUGAAGCUCCAACUAUGGAGGAAGAUGAUGAGGACGAUGAUUUUGAAGAUGAAGAAGAAGGAGAUGAGGAGAAGAGAUAGCAUCUACUGAUGGAUGUUAUCUGCACUAGAACAGGUUUUUCUAUCUUUUGGUUUUGUAAUUUGAAUUAUAUUUGCUUCUGUUUUAGUUUAGGAUUGAUGUACUUGGUUGGACACUAUAUCUGAUGCA